CUCAUGUAUUGUCUCAAUCUGAUAUCCAUUUUGAAUGAUAUCUCUAAAACUCAACAAGUUCCUUUUAGACUUGGAGGAGAACAUUUUGACUGAUAUCACUAAAACUCAACAAGUUCCUUUAGGCAGAGUUAUAGUUGCUCUUCAGGAGCCUUCAAACAAUUUAAUUCCCAUGGUUUGACAUACAAAAGAAAAUACACGAACAUGAGAAUAAACA
rnacentral:lncRNA from 1 species